rfam:Nematostella vectensis strain CH2 x CH6 NEMVEscaffold_350_Cont24646, whole genome shotgun sequence.
ACGAGGAAGGCCGAGUGGUGAAGGCUUUGGACUUAAGUCCCAAUGUACAAAUGUACGCUUGGGUUCCAAACCAAGUCCUGGUA